rnacentral:rRNA from 1 species
UACGAAGGGGGCUAGCGUUGCUCGGAAUCACUGGGCGUAAAGCGCACGUAGGCGGCUUUUUAAGUCAGGGGUGAAAUCCUGGAGCUCAACUCCAGAACUGCCCUUGAUACUGAGGAGCUCGAGUCCGGAAGAGGUGAGUGGAACUGCGAGUGUAGAGGUGAAAUUCGUAGAUAUUCGCAAGAACACCAGUGGCGAAGGCGGCUCACUGGCCCGUAACUGACGCUGAGGUGCGAAAGCGUGGGGAGCAAACAGG